rnacentral:tRNA from 1 species
GUCUUCUUAGCUCAGUUUGGUAGAGCGCAGGACUUUUAAUCCUGUGGUCGUGGGUUCGAUCCCCACAGAAGACA